GAGGUGUUGAUGGUUGUGUUGUAACAUGGUCCUAUAUGGGGUCUCUAGGUGGUGUUGAUGGUUGUGUUGUAACAUGGUCCUAUAUGGGGUCUCUAGGUGGUGUUGAUGGUUGUGUUGUAACAUGGUCCUAUAUGGGGUCUCUAGGUGGUGUUGAUGGUUGUGUUGUAACAUGGUCCUAUAUGGUGUCUAUAGGUGUUGAUGGUUGUGUUGUAACAUGGUCCUAUAUGGGGUCUCUAGGUGGUGUUGAUGGUUGUGUUGUAACAUGGUCCUAUAUGGGGUCUCUAGGAGGUGUUGAUGGUUGUGUUGUAA
ensembl:lncRNA